GAGACAGCUGAAGAACAAUUACCACCAGAAUCUGACGAUAGUAAACAGCAAAAAGAAAAUAUUGAUGGUGUUGAAGCUGAAACUGUAGUACAAACACCAGCGGUAACAGCGGAUGGAAAAUAGCAGCAAGAAAAUAUGGAUUGUGUUGAAGUAAAGAUGAGCAAUUAACUGGUAGAGUUGGAAACAAAAACAACAAGAGGAGGAAAAAGAGAACGAACAAAACAUAUUCAUCUAUUUAUAUAACAGUGUUGCAUGAAAAUAAAACUAUUGUUACAGUAUCAUUUUUUUAGGAGUUGAUUACAAUUUUUGGAUAUCAUUGUAAAUUAUAUUAAAAAUUAACAAAGCCAAACAGUGUAUGCAUUUAAUUGUACAUUCUAACAGUGUAACCUUUUUAUCAUUUAUAGAUAUUUAUUCCAUUUAAUCCAAUGUCAGGUUUUUAGUUAUUUUUUCUUGAUGUCUAGCAAAUACAAAGGAAUGCUUUUAAUACUUUCCCAUUUAUGAGAUUGAAUGUCCCUUUGGUAUAUUUCGUCUUGAUAUAUGUUUCCAAUUAGUUAAUCUGA